UCUACUGACUUCAUAAAAGAGUCACCAGAGAUGUGAAUGUCACUGCCGAGACCAAGUAGGAAAUCAACGGAGACUUUGCACUUUUACCAAAAUGAUGACCAGAAAUUCCAAUGAACUCAAUGACGCCAAACAUUUAAAGCAGCUGGGAAACAAGGCUCUCCAAACAGGCAUAUCUGAAGACGCUGGAUCUCACGUAGCUGAGUGGAAGAGGGAUAACAAAGCUGGAACUUGUGAUUUCCAUGGGGUUGGGCGCCGACUUCAGUUCUGCACCCUGGCAUCUCACUUUAACUGUGGUGACAGUCGUUUCCUAACUUCAUCACACUGACUGACAGGUACUACAACUUAAAACGCCCAACAUAUUUCACUGCGCUGGACAAGUCACAUCAGCCAGGGAUGAAUCACCAAAAGAAUGAGCUGGCGUGACCUCAUCAAUAGCGGGGGCGCAUAUAAAAAUGCCAGCUCUGCACAGUUGCACCAGCUUUUCCAACUAGUGUGGCGAAAGGCAAGCAGUCCUUUUAAAGAUCAAAGAGCUACAUAAAGAGCAGAGUGACACUCGGCACCGACACUACAGUAUUUAUUUUUGCACGGCUCCCAAUCUUUGCAAUCCUUACAUUCAUUUGCAGUUGCACUUCCUAUGUCUUCACGAAGAAGUCGGUUUCAUUAUCUCCUCGUUCUUUUGCUAUUUUGAUUUACUUCGGAUUUGCUGCGUAACGUAAAUGGUGAACUUGGCUGAAAAACCACAAGUACCCAAUAGGUAAGAGUUACCUGUUUUUGGAUGUGCUUCGCCACAUCAAACCGUUCAUCAAACAUCGAAGCAGGCACAGCGAUCUCUGAGGAUCCUCAAAGCGGCUUGCUGUCUCUCACAUGUUGAUAGCAAACAGAGAUUCUGACAUCACGUUCCGACUUGAUCACUCUGCGCCCCCCCGAUUUUAAGCUGGUACUGCCACUCGUGCCCGCGUUGCGUUAAUUUCUCAAGACAUGCCCAAAGGACGCAUCAAAUGAAUACUGGGAACGUGUAGCAGCCAUGAGCGUGAAGUAUAAACCGGCCCUAUGAAUUAUGUAUUCUAUACAUGUGAUAAUAGCACUGCUAGUGAGACGUCACAAGUGGCAAUUCCCUCCGCACGUGAACACAGCAUUACUCCUGAACCCACAAGCUCAUCCAAUCAGCAGCUAUUCCCUGCAAAAUAGGGGCCUUAAUGUCCCCCUGCCAAGUCUGAGUCACAUAAAACAGCUACAACAACAACAACAUUGCAGACCUGUAAAUACCUGGGAGUGCAGCUGGAUGAUAA